rnacentral:rRNA from 1 species
AUUGAACGCUGGCGGCAUGCCUUACACAUGCAAGUCGAACGGUAACAGGUCUUCGGAUGCUGACGAGUGGCGAACGGGUGAGUAAUACAUCGGAACGUGCCUAGUAGUGGGGGAUAACUACUCGAAAGAGUGGCUAAUACCGUAUGAGAUCUACGGAUGAAAGCAGGGGAUCGCAAGACCUUGUGCUACUAGAGCGGCCGAUGGCAGAUUAGGUAGGUGGUGGGAUAAAAGCUUACCAAGCCGACGAUCUGUAGUUGGUCUGAGAGGACGAUCAGCCACACUGGGACUGAGACACGGCCCAGACUCCUACGGGAGGCAGCAGUGGGGAAUUUUGGACAAUGGGCGCAAGCCUGGUCCAGCAAUGCCGCGUGCAGGAUGAAGGCCUUCGGGUUGUAAACUGCUUUUGUACGGAACGAAAAGCCCUGGGUUAAUACCCUGGGGUCAUGACGGUACCGUAAGAAUAAGCACCGGCUAACUACGUGCCAGCCGCCGCGGUAAAAC